AUUAUGACCUUUUUUCCUUAAGACAACUCAGUUUUCCUAACUCUUAUUUAUAUACACCGAAAGAAAUACUGGCAGUAUGUUUGAUAAAAGGCAUGUGCAUCAGUGAAAUGUUAACUGUAUAGCAAAUAACCUAUCAUAAUCUGUAUAGCAACCAAUAUUUUUCUGAUUUAUAAUACCUUAAUAACUUGACGCUGCAUUUAUUUUAUUUUUUGCCAGUUUUAAAUGUUUGUGUGUUCUUGUAGAUAAUUUUAACUGGUAAAUAUUUUGAGUUAAGAUGAAUGUAUUAAAGCAGCAUCAUAUCAGUUUUGUUUAUUCGGUUUCUAAAAUGUGCUGAUCCUUUUAAAACUCCUGCUUAUCUUUGCAACAAAGAAAAAUAUUCAAAAAUACUGCCUUCAUUUUCACACACAGUGCUGAAGAUGCUGCAAGCACCAAAUCAUAGCUCAUAAAAUCAGGUCCUGAGAUAGUUACCCAUAAAGAGGAAUCCUUUGAGUGUAUGCCAUUGGUGAGCCGAUGAGCAUGGACCAUAGAAGGGCUCAAUGUAGAAGGUAAAAUUGGCAAAUCGUAACUGAGAAAAAUGAAAUGUUUUCCCAUACGUAAUAUGAUACAGGGUGUACUGUGCCUGCUUUUGAUCACUUUUCAUUUUAAAGUGCUAUUCACUUGAUCUUAAAUGUUCCAUGAAAUGUUAAAUUUUGAAAGUUAGUUAUUGCACCACAUUUAUGUGUGUGUAUAUGUGUUUUAAUAGUCAAUGUUAAAAUUGAUAAUAUAAAGGAGCUCUUUGAACCUUAAGAGCCUGUCAAGUUUUGCUUAGUUGUAGUUUGCAUUUUUAUAAAAGAAAAUACAUAUGAAUGCUAAUAGAUAUUGGGGCAUUGUUUCUAUCUCAUGAGAAUUUUUUUAUUCAUUAGCAUAAGCCUUCAUUGAUACUGCAGGCAUUUUUUAAAUGGCGCUAAUCU
rnacentral:lncRNA from 1 species